CGGGACCCUGACCUCAGGCAGAUGUUUGGGCAAUAUGGGAAGAUUCUGGAUGUAGAGAUUAUUUUCAAUGAGAGGGGAUCAAAGGGUUUUGGCUUUGUGACAUUUGAGACCAGCGCAGACGCAGAGAAAGCCAGGGAAAAGCUCCACGGCACACUGGUGGAAGGUCGUAAGAU